rnacentral:lncRNA from 1 species
UCACUUUCCUGAGUUUCAUAACUCUGUCUCCCGUAACUCGGGGCCUCAUGCUCAGUCCUCUCUGACCUCCCACCAUAUCCACCAGACUCAUAUUCCGAGGUGGGCUUCCUCUCAUACCCAGAUCCAUACUCUUCUGACUCCGUCUUUCACCCAUACCCAGAUUCAGAUCCAUACACUUGCUGAUCAUAUUCACUCUUCCUCCCAUACCCAGAUCCG